ensembl:lncRNA
UGUGCUCAGACAACUCAGGACUGGUCUUUCUUACCAUGGCUCUGCAUACUUGGCCAAGAAUGUACUUGAAACCUACUUUUGAAGCUGCCCUGACACAACUAAGACAACGUGGCUGGGGCUGCUAUAAUCCCAACUCAUGGGUGAGGAUUGUCUCCAUGUGAGAUUACUUCUGAAGACUGAACUCUGGGAGGCAGAGAUGCUGCUCAGCUGAUUGGCAAUGGAAAAACACUCAGCAGCCAACUCGGAAGUAUGUUGGGUGAUAAGUCUGCAUUUGAGCUGCUGCUAAGAGACUACAAGGUGUGUGAGAGAUGGACUCACCCAACGGGGGCGCUUGUUCAUCCCUUGCUUUUCAGUGAGGUAGUGCCUCUUCCACACCAACUGGAUGCUUCUGUUCCUUUUAAUGACUCUUAGAGCUUCAAGCAGAUGUGGUCCACCUUUUUCACCCUGAUAGGAAGCUGCCUGGUGUGUCUUGUUGGGCUUACCAAGAAUUCCAGACCCCUACGGAGCAGCGUUGUGUUGAGUCACGUGCCUGAAAACCUCUACCA